rnacentral:rRNA from 1 species
CGACGAUUCGUACUGGUCUGAGAGAUGAUCAGUCACACUGGAACUGAGACACGGUCCAGACUCUUACGGAAGGCAGCAGUGGGAAUAUGGACAAUGGCGAAAGCCUGAUCCAGCCAUGCCGCGUGUGUGAAGAAGGUCUUCGGAUGUAAAGCACUUUAGUUGGGAGGAAGGGCAGUUACCUAAUACGUGAUGUUUGACGUUACCGACAGAAUAAGCACCGGCUAACUCUGUGCCAGCAGCCGCGGUAAUACAGAGGGUGCAAGCGUUAAUCGGAAUUACUGGGCGUAAAGCGCGCGUAGGUGGUUUGUUAAGUUGGAUGUGAAAUCCCCGGGCUCAACCUGGGAACUGCAUUCAAAACUGACUGACUAGAGUAUGGUAGAGGGUGGUGGAAUUUCCUGUGUAGCGGUGAAAUGCGUAGAUAUAGGAAGGAACACCAGUGGCGAAGGCGACCACCUGGACUGAUACUGACACUGAGGUGCGAAAGCGUGGGGAGCAAAC